CUUAUUCUCAAUGAAGGGGAGACAGCUGUUUUUGACUGUUCUUCCUCUGAUCCAGACAUACCAAUCGUCUGGACAAGGGGCAGUCAGGAAAUGCCCGCAAAGGCCAUUGUCACUGAUGGCAGACUGACCAUUCCAGCAGUGACCGUCGAAGAUGCAGAUUCGUAUAUCUGUGGGGUUGGAGAAAUAAUGGACAUUGGUAUCAGCGAGGCGGUGGGAGAACUUCUUGUCACUCCAGCGUGUCCCCCGGAUAACUUUCGUUGUACUAUCGGUACCUGUAUUUCUGGAAUAUACAGAUGUGAUGGCUUCUCUGACUGUAGC